rnacentral:rRNA from 1 species
AUUGAACGCUGGCGGCAUGCCUUACACAUGCAAGUCGAACGGUAACAGGUUAAGCUUACGAGUGGCGAACGGGUGAGUAAUACAUCGGAACGUGCCCAGUAGUGGGGGAUAGCCCGGCGAAAGCCGGAUUAAUACCGCAUACGACCUAAGGGUGAAAGGGGGGGAUCGCAAGACCUCUCGCUAUUGGAGCGGCCGAUGUCAGAUUAGCUAGUUGGUGGGGUAAAAGCUCACCAAGGCGACGAUCUGCAGCUGGUCUGAGAGGACGACCAGCCACACUCGGACUGGGACACGGCCCAGACUCCUACGGGAGGCAGCAGUGGGGAAUGUUGGACAAUAGGCGCAAGCCUGAUCCAGCCAUGCCGCGUGCGAGAAGAAGGCCUUCGGGUUGUAAACCGCUUUUGUGAGGGAAGAAAUCCUUUGGGUUAAUACCUCGGGGGGAUGACGGUACCUGAAGAAUAAGCACCGGCUAACUACGUG